CUUGGCCCCACAUUUGUGCUGUGGUCAAAGCACCUGCCGCUGUGUACCCCUCGGCCGCCCACACUGAUUUUUCUGGUUGCUGUAAUAAAAGGGCGAUGUUCCUUUGAGGAUUUUCAAGAGAGUUGUGCUACAAAAUAGCAAAAGGUGGCAACUUCAGGAGGUUGUCUUGGAGCCCAAGGAUGGGCAGAAGAUUCCUGUGUUCGUGGUCAGAGAGAAGAUAUAGUAAAAAAAUGGAGUAAAAGUGAUUAGAAUGACAGCAUUCUUCAAGUUUGGCCUCUCUCAUCUCCACCAUGUGCUCACCAGGAAUGACAGCCAUCUGCGUGCAGACACUCCUGUGAGCCAGUUCUCUUGGCUCUAGGUGUGGGCAUAUGGUAAUGCGGGUAUAAUGCUAAUUUGACCACAAACAAAUGCUAUUGUGGUUUUUAAACUAAAUCAAAAUAUUUUUAUUAUAAGUUUAUAAGGUAAUUUAUUUAAGUGGUCUGUAUUUAUAUAAAAGCAAAGCAUAAGAUAAAAGGAAUGAGUAUUAAUAAUAAAAUGUUGAUCUCUGUUGGUUCUCUUUUCCUCUCCCCACCCCUUCCCCCUAAUUUUUAGCUCCAUCAAUAAAAAGGCUAAGGUUUACUAGCAUUAAAGAAGCUUUUAAAGUUUUGGCAUUAGACUGCUGAGAAAAGACCAGGUACUUUUGUUUUGGUCAUUCUACCCUGAAUUCAUGUUAGUAGUUA